CCUACGGGAGGCAGCAGUGGGGAAUAUUGGGCAAUGGGGGCAACCCUGACCCAGCAACGCCGCGUGAAUGAAGAAGGGCUUCGGCUUGUAAAGUUCUUUUGUCAGGGAAGAAGAAAAUGACGGUACCUGAAGAAGAAGCCACGGUUAACUACGUGGCAGCAGCCGCGGUAAUACGUAGGAGGCGAGCGUUCUCGGGAAUUACUGGGUGUAAAGGGGGAGUAGGCGGGGCUGCAAGUCAGUAGUGAAACUCCAGGGCUCAACCCUGGAACUGCUUUUGAAACUGUUUGUCUUGAGUGCAGGAGGGGCAGGCGGAAUUCCUUGUGUAGCGGUGAAAUGCGUAGAUAUUAGGAGGAACACCAGUGGCGAAGGCGGCCUGCUGGACUGUAACUGACGCUGAGGCGCGAAAGCGUGGGGAGCAAACAGGAUUAGAUACCCGUGUAGUC
rnacentral:rRNA from 1 species